rnacentral:misc_RNA from 1 species
AGAAUAUUGGCUGAAUUUUUUAGUGCAUGCUCAUAUUUUCUCUUUGGUUACUUUUCUUUUCUCCAGGUAACUAAAAUAUUAAAAUUUACUUUAUCAAAUAAUUACUCUUAGUUUAAUUAAUAAAGCCUAAUCUAAUGGUUUAAAAAACAAAGUACAAAUAAAGUAUAAUCAAAACAAACAACCACAACAAUGAGUUUUUACUUUACUGGUAUUAGAGUUAUAUCUAAUUAAAUUUAGUGAUAAAUAAUUGAGAUUUUAUU